rnacentral:lncRNA from 1 species
CUUAUCCGCCAACAAUCCUGCUUUCUAGAUCAUCAGGCAGAGCACUAGAAUACUAACUCCAAAUAUUUGAGGUCCUGGUCACAAGCCUAGCUAGGACUUUUGGCUCUGCUCCACGGUAUAAGGACUGAGCCAGGCACAGAGCAGCCCCUAAGGUGCUGUUUUCAAGGCAAAGCUAUCCUGGUCACAGAAAGAAUUGAAACCCACAGAGGAGAGAAGAGGAACAACUGGGAAAGGAGUGUGUGUCUGUCUUUCUGUCUGGAGAAGUCGGGACUUCCACUUGUUUCUUGAGGACUCCAGACUUAACUCCCUUUGGGGCAUUUGGCCUGGUUUUCUCCACCCCUUCAUCUGCGCUGACCAGCUCCGGGCUCCGCAGUGCCAGUAACAAGGUCCUCCACCUGCCCUGACUGCUGCAAACCGCUACAGCGCUACAGCAUAAACGGCGGCGCUCAAAGGUGGGGGCUCUGCCGGUUCCGAAGGAUCGCGUCUCAGAAGGUGAUAAUUUGAAAAAUCAGGUGACAUUGAAGUGGGUCGAGGCUUCAAGGUGCCUUCAGAGCUCUGCUAGCGGUGGCUUGGAGCUCUGGGAAGCGGCUCUGCAGACGCUUUGGGCUUGAGAGCUCAGAUUGAGCGACGCGCAGCUGCGGGCCAUUCGCUCCUAGCUUCGCGGACGAGCCGGGUCUCCGAGUGUGCCGCGGGACGUGGUCAGAGUCCAAGAGUCACUGCCCGAACCUGGUGGCUGAAACCCAACCGGAAGCCUCGGAGCCUCCGCCUCCCUCCAGGACCGCUGGGGUCUCCGGUGGGCAUGAAUCAGGUUGUAAGUGGUCGCUGCACAGUCCCAGGAUCAUCGCUGCCCCUUCUCCCGCUCCUCCCCGCCGCACCAUCUUUUUCUUUCAGACCGUGCUUUACAGCCCUUAAUGUGCAUAAAAUAAACUGUGUCCCACGGAACAUGCCGCCUUCUCUCACGCGGGCCGAGAGGAUUGUGAACCGGUAGGCGGCAAAGUGUCACACGGGGAAAGCCCAGACUACGGACUGCUGGGAAUCUGGGUGUACCCGGAGCCUCCCUGGGUGGCCCGGGACUUCGAGGGGCCACCUCUGCUCCCACGGGAUUCGGCCAGGGCACGAAUUGGUGAAAAGCGGGAUGGAGACGCUAGAGGAACACAAUGUCACACGCCAAGCUUUCAAGGUGCACAUGACGGCUGCAGACACUCAAGCCCUUAAAAGGAGCAUUUAAACUUGGGGGGGGGGGAGUACGGAUGGAACUCAGAGGCACACCAAUUAGUGUGAACACAACACUCGCGGGGACUUUGCGGGAGCGUUCACAAUUCCGGAGUGCACGGGGACCGGGAGGUGGCUCCGCCCCGCCUCGCUCCAGUCAAACUUCAGUCUCUGCCGGUAGAAAGGCGUCUCUGCGCUCCCAGGGAUCUACUCGCGCGUCGCCUGUACAAACCCUCUGCUGUGUGGCCUUGUAUCUUUAGGUAGGGGGACAUCUUUUGUCUCUCGGCAAGAAGUUUUCCUCCGGGGAAGAUAAAGUAAUCGAUAGGGCCUUUUUAAAUAGCUCCGAGUUUCCUGUCGGGCCAGGAGUAUCAGCGCGCACACCAAAUCUGCUCUGGUAUGUCAUCUUAUCUCCCUUCCCCGCUGUUGUCCCCAAACGCUGCCUGUCAAGAGAGACGCCACCCGCAUUAGGACCCAGACUGGGGCCCUUCCGCUCGGGGUCACGCGCUGCCCCCUCGGCUCCGCUGUCCUUCGCGUUCCUGGAGGGUGGGAAGGAGAUGCUGCAGCCCGCAUGAAGAUUCUGGGACAUGGAGCGGGUCACUGGGGCACACUGUCACUCAGAACGGGUGUGUGUGGACCGCUUUUCAACCACAAACACAAGGAACAGCCAAACAGCGCAUUGACUGCUUGUCUGUGUGAAGAAAAACCAGGCUCAUUCUUCGAAGGGGCCAUUGGAUCUCAGAGCGCUCCAGGCUGGCCCCAGCUUUCCCUAACUCCAGGAUGACUUUGGAAGGGGAGAGGAGAGGGUCUGGCCUCAGAAUCCUGCCGUUUUCCUUUGCUUCAACUGCUCCACUUCCAACCUGCAGGGAACCGGAGUGGGGUUGCUUAGCCAACACAGAAAGGCCAAGGUAGUGGUGACAAGUGACCACCGCUUGGGCAGUUCUUUCUUUCUUUCUCUCUUUCUUUCUUUCUUUCUUUCUUUCUUUCUUUCUUUCUUUCUUUCUUUCUUUCUUUCUUUCUUUCUUUCUUUCUUUCUUUCUUUCUUUCUUUGUUUUUUCCGAG